UUCUGAGAAGCCACAGUUUGCUAUCUGAGCCCUCCAUUACAGGACUCAAAACUUCUACUUUAUGUUUUUCAGGUCUAUUGUGAACAGGAUCCCGACUUCUUGACUUUGACCACUGGUUUGAACAGCUGUGUGCACACAGUUUGCCUGUGGAUGGUUCCUGUGCUUUUUUAUUAAAACCUAAAGAUUUUUUUAUGCCUGCAGUGACACUGAAUUCAAGUCAAAUGAGAACCCCCAAACCAACCAAAAAUGGAAGAAGGAGAGGGAAAGAGGGAAAGGACAGGAAAAGAAAUGUGGCAACAAUAAAUGGACAGGAGGAGGAACCACCGAGGCUCAAGCCUGCUGGGACCUGGAAACUGAUGAACCAGCACCACUCCCCAUAGUCAAGAUAUGGACUGAGAUGGUGCCACCUAUCUGAAAUGUGCAGCUGCCCACAUGGACAAGCCGAAAGCCAAAUGACAGUGAGAUGCACCGAGCAUGCUGGUGGUAGCAUCUUGCUCUGGGGCUGUUUUGCUUAUUCCUGAUGUUAUCCUAAAACUUUAAAACAUCAUUUAUAACUUUUUAAAUACAAAGUACAGCUGUUUAUUUUUCCCCUGAAAAAACAAUAACAGUCAUGGUUUUCUAAGCUUUGCCAGAGCUGGAUCACAGCUCCUGUACGAUCUGUGAGUAAUCUAUUUAGUCAUAGUAAGAAAUACACAGGUUCUAGGAAAAAUGAAUACAAGGCAGACUGUGUUUAGUGCCAUAUAGAGUCACAAUGAAAGGUCCACUGAAAAAACCCCGAGCGCUUGUCUGAAUUUCAUUCAUAUGCUUUACACGUAUGUUAAAGCACU